GCCAACUAUGUCGGCUCAUCCAAUCGAUGUCAUAAUCGCUUCCGACCAACUCGGCGAGACGAACCUAGUCAUGGUUUCGGAUUUCUCAAAUAACUCACGAUUUUAAAAAUCAACUUUCAGUGAACUCUGUUGCCUCAUCCGAUGAACCAUAUAGUCGUUUCCGACCAACUCGGUCACGGUGACGGGAUCACAGGAUGCGUUUUUUUCUCACGGCGAUAGGACGAGAUGCUAUCGAUCUACUGUGAUGCUGAUAGCCGAUCAAGAUUUAUUUUUUGCGAGAAUCAAGAUUAUUAUUUUCUCGUGGAAAAAACAGGUUGCACGGUAAAAUAAAAAUAAAAAUGUCCCUGCUAAUUGACGUUCUACUACUUAUUCCUUCCUUUAGUAUCAAAAGGUACUAAACCUCUACUUUUUUUUUACUCUUUUCUACUUUUUUUUUACUCUUUUCUGCGUUGCUUCUCGGACUCGUGAGUAGGUGUUUUGGCCUACUGUAUUUCCCUAAGAAAAAACUCUUAUCUUCUCUUGGUCGGUCUAGCAGUUUUCGCGUGUGUUUGUACUAAUGGCACUCUAUUUGUUUAAUACAUUGUUAUCCUCAAAAAGUCGUGUAUAAAUUGUGAUGACACGUGUUUUUGCCAACCAUGUCUAGUUUAUGAUGACGGGCCGGCCUGGUCGACGCAGCAUGUUAAUUUAGCUUUCGGCACCAUCCUACGAUUUGACGUUGUAAAGUUGCCCAUCCAGCCAGCAGCAGUAGCGCCAGCUGUGCGGCACAGCAGAGUCAAGGUCACCACUACACAUGUCUUCAAUGUCGGAAACAUGGAGAUGGGUGGUAUCCAUUCUGAAUUCCAAGCAAAAUAAGAACCUGAUUCGUCACCCGGAUGCCGAAUACGUGGAAGAGCACGAGUCAAAUAGGGG
rnacentral:lncRNA from 1 species